UGCCUUACACAUGCAAGUCGAACGGCAGCACGGGAGCAAUCCUGGUGGCGAGUGGCGAACGGGUGAGUAAUAUAUCGGAACGUGCCCAGUCGUGGGGGAUAACGUAGCGAAAGCUACGCUAAUACCGCAUACGAUCUAUGGAUGAAAGCAGGGGAUCGCAAGACCUCGCGCGAUUGGAGCGGCCGAUAUCAGAUUAGGUAGUUGGUGAGGUAAAGGCUCACCAAGCCGACGAUCUGUAGCUGGUCUGAGAGGACGACCAGCCACACUGGGACUGAGACACGGCCCAGACUCCUACGGGAGGCAGCAGUGGGGAAUUUUGGACAAUGGGCGCAAGCCUGAUCCAGCAAUGCCGCGUGCAGGAUGAAGGCCUUCGGGUUGUAAACUGCUUUUGUACGGAACGAAACGGUGAGCUCUAAUACAGUUUGCUAAUGACGGUACCGUAAGAAUAAGCACCGGCUAACUACGUG
rnacentral:rRNA from 1 species